UGUUAAAAAUAAGGAAAAAUAAUUUGGAAAAAGGUUAGGAUCGAUUAGGAUUGAUUAGGAUUAGGGUUGGGGAUCAUGGUUUGGGCACUUAUCUUAUCAUGGUUGCGAGGUGAGGCUUUAGCCGCGUCACUGCUCGAUCCAAGAUGUCGGCCAUGUGUUCCGGUGAUCCUGGGUUGAUGUUGAUUUUGUCUUUUGUUCGGGCGCCAAAUGUUUCUUGCAUUGCCUUGCUGCUUGUAUUUACUAGUUCGUUGUUCGUUGAAGUGGUUGAAAAAUGAAAGAUAUGAGAAAUUAAACAAUUCUGUAUUGCAAAUUACAAGAUUACGCAAACACUUCGCACGACGAGAAGAAGUAAGGGAAAGAGAGUUUACAUGUCAAAUCACUGUCUUAUAUACCCAACGUUCUGUCACAUCACUGAUUGUCUAUUGCACUCACAGUCUAUAUAGAUACUUCACACCGAUAACCGAUAAAUUAAGCAUGGAUCACACGAUGUGAAUCGUUAUAGAGUUGCACCGCAAUGAAAAUGUGAGACGUUCCUUAACAAUAUUAAUAAACUAUAAUAAGUCACUCCGUACGCUUGUUU